rnacentral:rRNA from 1 species
AUUGAACGCUGGCGGCAUGCCUUACACAUGCAAGUCGAACGGCAGCACGGGUGCUUGCACCUGGUGGCGAGUGGCGAACGGGUGAGUAAUAUAUCGGAACGUACCUUAUUGUGGGGGAUAACGCAGCGAAAGCUGUGCUAAUACCGCAUAAUCCCUGAGGGGGAAAGCGGGGGAUCGCAAGACCUCGCGCGAUUAGAGCGGCCGAUGCCUGAUUAGCUUGUUGGUGGGGUAAAAGCCCACCAAGGCGACGAUCAGUAGCUGGUCUGAGAGGACGAUCAGCCACACUGGGACUGAGACACGGCCCAGACUCCUACGGGAGGCAGCAGUGGGGAAUUUUGGACAAUGGGGGCAACCCUGAUCCAGCAAUGCCGCGUGAGUGAAGAAGGCCUUCGGGUUGUAAAGCUCUUUUGUCAGGGAAGAAACACCGGCUCUAACACAGUCCGGGAAUGACGGUACCUGAAGAAUAAGCACCGGCUAACUACGUGCCAGCCGCCGCCGUAA